rnacentral:rRNA from 1 species
GACGAACGCUGGCGGCGUGCUUAACACAUGCAAGUCGAACGGAAAGGCCCUUCGGGGUACUCGAGUGGCGAACGGGUGAGUAACACGUGGGUGAUCUGCCCUGCACUUUGGGAUAAGCCUGGGAAACUGGGUCUAAUACCGAAUAUGAUCAUCAGCUUCAUGGUUGGUGGUGGAAAGCUUUUGCGGUGUGGGAUGGGCCCGCGGCCUAUCAGCUUGUUGGUGGGGUAAUGGCCUACCAAGGCGACGACGGGUAGCCGGCCUGGGAGGGUGACCGGCCACACUGGGACUGAGAUACGGCCCAGACUCCUACGGGAGGCAGCAGUGGGGAAUAUUGCACAAUGGGCGCAAGCCUGAUGCAGCGACGCCGCGUGAGGGAUGACGGCCUUCGGGUUGUAAACCUCUUUCAGCACAGACGAAGCGCAAGUGACGGUAUGUGCAGAAGAAGGACCGGCCAACUACGUGCCAGCAGCCGCGGUAA